AUGAACGCUGGCGGCGUGCCUAAUACAUGCAAGUCGAGCGAACAGACGAGGAGCUUGCUCCUCUGACGUUAGCGGCGGACGGGUGAGUAACAUGUGGAUAACCUACCUAUAAGACUGGGAUAACUUCGGGAAACCGGAGCUAAUACCGGAUAAUAUAUUGAACCGCAUGGUUCAAUAGUGAAAGACGGUUUUGCUGUCACUUAUAGAUGGAUCCGCGCCGCAUUAGCUAGUUGGUAAGGUAACGGCUUACCAAGGCAACGAUGCGUAGCCGACCUGAGAGGGUGAUCGGCCACACUGGAACUGAGACACGGUCCAGACUCCUACGGGAGGCAGCAGUAGGGAAUCUUCCGCAAUGGGCGAAAGCCUGACGGAGCAACGCCGCGUGAGUGAUGAAGGUCUUCGGAUCGUAAAACUCUGUUAUUAGGGAAGAACAAAUGUGUAAGUAACUAUGCACGUCUUGACGGUACCUAAUCAGAAAGCCACGGCUAACUACGUG
rnacentral:rRNA from 1 species